rnacentral:rRNA from 1 species
UUGNANUGGGGGAACCCUGAUGCAGCGACGCCGCGUGAGCGAUGAAGCCCUUCGGGGUGUAAAGCUCUUUCGACGGGAACGAUAAUGACGGUACCCGGAGAAGAAGCUGCGGCUAACUACGUGCCAGCAGCCGCGGUAAUACGUAGGCAGCAAACGUUGUUCGGAAUUACUGGGCGUAAAGAGUGUGUAGGCGGUUGGGUAAGUUUGGUGUGAAAUCUCCCGGCUUAACUGGGAGGGUGCGCCGAAAACUGCCUGGCUUGAGUACUGGAGAGGAUAGCGGAAUUCCUGGUGUAGCGGUGAAAUGCGUAGAUAUCAGGAGGAACACCUGCGGUGUAGACGGCUGUCUGGACAGUAACUGACGCUGAGACACGAAAGCGUGGGGAGCAAACAGGAUUAGAUACCCUGGUAGUCCACGCCCUAAACGAUGCAUACUUGGUGUGGGUGAUUCAUUUUAUCCGUGCCGGAGCUAACGCGUUAAGUAUGCCGCCUGGGGAGUACGGUCGCAAGGCUGAAACUCAAAGAAAUUGACGGA